rnacentral:pre_miRNA from 14 species
CUGCCCCGCCCCCCUAGGCCUCCCUCUCGGUCCCUGAGACCCUUAUCCUGUGAGGGAGCCCAGAGCUCACAGGUGAGGCCUUGGGAACUGGGCGGGUGGCCCCCCCACCGGGCGGGGCA